UGCGGGCCAGGGGUACUCGGAAGGCGCGGGCAGGAGCCUGGCGAGGAUGCACCUUCCCCUGCCUUGGAAAGUGACGGACACCAGAUUGCCCCCAACUUCCCAUCCUCAGGAAUAAGACUGCAACGAGCACCCUGCGCAGUGUGAGACCCAAGUGACAGGCCACAGGAGGGCACUCGCUAGCCAUGGGGCAUGCAACAUACAGCUCUGAAUUUGCUGCUUUCCAGAAUAGCCUUAGUAGCUUCACAGUCUUGGUACUUGGAAUUCUCUCACUCUGGAAUAAUUAUCUCCUGGGAUCUUAAAGCGUUUUCUCCUGCUCAACAGCGAGGUCUUAACUCAAAUAUCACUGUCUCAGAGAGGCCUUCCCAAUCUCACAGUUACCCCACAACCCACCCUCCCCAGGUUACUCUGUAAUUUUUACGUGAACAGGGUUUCACUCUGUUGCGCAGGCUGGAGUACAGUA
rnacentral:sRNA from 1 species